AUACGCAAACAACACCACGCUUUUAUUUCAUUCAUUUUACACUCGACCAGUUUAUGAAUUAGCAUCAAAAGGUUAAGAUGAAUAUAAUAUUUGCCUUAACUUCAAUAUUAUGUAUAUUCAGCUAUACCCGAGCAUUUAGCCAUUCGGAAAAAAUAGAAAUCUUUUGUGCGAUAAAUUACACAUAUUUGUUAAGAUUCGUGAACUGUACCAUUGCUCGAAGCUCGGAAUUCUAUCAAAAGGCGAGCGAUGUUUUAUACGAAUGUUUUAAUCAAUAUUACGAAAAUAGA
rnacentral:lncRNA from 1 species